GUAGGGUGCAAGCGUUAAUCGGAAUUACUGGGCGUAAAGCGUGCGCAGGCGGUUUUGUAAGUCUGAUGUGAAAUCCCCGGGCUCAACCUGGGAAUUGCAUUGGAGACUGCAAGGCUAGAAUCUGGCAGAGGGGGGUAGAAUUCCACGUGUAGCAGUGAAAUGCGUAGAUAUGUGGAGGAACACCGAUGGCGAAGGCAGCCCCCUGGGUCAAGAUUGACGCUCAUGCACGAAAGCGUGGGGAGCAAACAGGAUUAGAUACCCUGGUAGUCCACGCCCCUAAACGAUGUCUACUAGUUGUCGGGUCUUAAUUGACUUGGUAACGCAGCUAACGCGCGAAGUAGACCCGCCUGGGAGUACGGUCGCAAGAUUA
rnacentral:rRNA from 1 species